CCUACGGGAGGCAGCAGUGGGGAAUAUUGCACAAUGGGGGAAACCCUGAUGCAGCAACGCCGCGUGAGUGAAGAAGUAUUUCGGUAUGUAAAGCUCUAUCAGCAGGGAAGAAGAAAGACGGUACCUGACUAAGAAGCCCCGGCUAACUACGUGCCAGCAGCCGCGGUAAUACGUAGGGGGCAAGCGUUAUCCGGAUUUACUGGGUGUAAAGGGAGCGUAGACGGCUGUGCAAGUCUGAAGUGAAAGCCCGUGGCUCAACCGCGGAACUGCUUUGGAAACUGUAUAGCUUGAGUACUGGAGAGGCAGGCGGAAUUCCUAGUGUAGCGGUGAAAUGCGUAGAUAUUAGGAGGAACACCAGUGGCGAAGGCGGCCUGCUGGACAGAAACUGACGUUGAGGCUCGAAAGCGUGGGGAGCAAACAGGAUUAGAUACCCUUGUAGUC
rnacentral:rRNA from 1 species